UACGUAGGGUGCAAGCGUUAAUCGGAAUUACUGGGCGUAAAGCGUGCGUAGACGGUAGCGUAAGUCGGGUGUGAAAGCCCCGGGCUCAACCUGGGAAUUGCAUUCGAGACUGCUCUGCUAGGGUGCGGAAGAGGGAAGCGGAAUUUCCGGUGUAGCGGUGAAAUGCGUAGAUAUCGGAAGGAACACCAGUGGCGAAAGCGGCUUCCUGGUCCAGCACCGACGUUCAGGCACGAAAGCGUGGGGAG
rnacentral:rRNA from 1 species